UCAAACGAGCUGCAUAACUAACUGAACCGAACGAAGGAAGUGCGCAAGCUAAUUUAAAACAACUUGCGUUCUCUCUUUUGAACUGAAGCUGGCAUACGUUUCUAUAGACUCUAUCGACUCUAACAACUGAAGAGGAAGAUGAAGCUGGGAGACUCUGAAUCGCCAUGAACUGCAACUGCACAAGUAAUCAACAGAGUCUCCACUGAGUUCUAGUGAUGAAUUUAGUCAAAAGUCUACACUUUUAGGCAUAAAGAUCACAAAUUUGAAUCGAGAAAUGGAAAAAAAUUGAUAAGAACACAAACCUUAGCCAUGAGAGGACGAAGAGACAGAGGUGAAGUCGAGGAAGAAGACUUAGCAGCCGCAAGUGAGAGCGUUCUCUGCAUUGGGAACAGUCUGAUUGAUUCAGAAGGUUUCAAAUCGUCCCACGAGUGUGAUUUUGAUGCUUCUCAUAUAAACCAGAAGAAGAAGAAGAAUGAUUUUGCUAAUGGCGGAGUAACAAGGAGAGAGAGAGACUAACAAGGGUUUACUUUACCUCUCUGGGGGAGUUUAUCUGUUUAUAAAUCCGGGUCGGAUCUAUAUAAAGCCCGGUACGGGUCUUGUACAUGGGCUUCG
rnacentral:lncRNA from 1 species